rnacentral:rRNA from 1 species
UACGUAGGGGGCAAGCGUUGUCCGGAAUCAUUGGGCGUAAAGAGCGUGUAGGCGGUUCGGUAAGUCCGCUGUGAAAGCCCAGGGCUCAACCCUGGAAUGCCGGUGGAAACUGUCGAACUAGAGUCCGGAAGAGGCGAGUGGAAUUCCUGGUGUAGCGGUGAAAUGCGCAGAUAUCAGGAGGAACACCAAUGGCGAAGGCAGCUCGCUGGGACGGUACUGACGCUGAGACGCGAAAGCGUGGGGAGCAAACAGG